GGCUUUGGGAGGCAAGGGAACUUCUUCUCGCUGAAUAAGGAAAUGCCGUUUCAGCGCACUCAAGUUCUCAUGCCUCCCUCUGCU